UGUAGCUCAGUUGGUGGAGCAGGAGACUCUUAAUCUCAGAGUUGUGUGUUCGAGCCCUACGCUGGGCAAAA